rnacentral:rRNA from 1 species
UAGGGAAUCUUCGGCAAUGGGGGGAACCCUGACCGAGCAACGCCGCGUGAGUGAAGAAGGUUUUCGGAUCGUAAAGCUCUGUUGUUAAGGAAGAACGAGUGUGAGAAUGGAAAGUUCAUACUGUGACGGUACUUAACCAGAAAGGGACGGCUAACUACGUGCCAGCAGCCGCGGUAAUACGUAGGUGGCAAGCGUUGUCCGGAUUUAUUGGGCGUAAAGCGAGCGCAGGCGGUCAAUUAAGUCUGAUGUGAAAGCCCCCGGCUCAACCGGGGAGUGUCAUUGGAAACUGGUUUACUUGAGUGCAGAAGAGGAGAGUGGAAUUCCAUGUGUAGCGGUGAAAUGCGUAGAUAUAUGGAGGAACACCAGUGGCGAAGGCGACUCUCUGGUCUGUAACUGACGCUGAGGCUCGAAAGCGUGGGUAGCAAACAGG